GACCAGUUGGCUCAGUUGGUUAGAGCACGGUGCUCAUAACACCGAGGUCGCUGGUUCGAGUCCUGUAUGGGCCA